rnacentral:lncRNA from 13 species
GUGAGAAGGCUGAUGCAAGUGUCACCAGGCCAAAACCAAGGGGUUAGCAGGACCAGGUUCCUUAGGGGAGCCUCCAGAGAAAAGUCCACUUCUUCACUCACUCAGGUGCCUCCAGGCCUUUCCCUGGUCCUUGCACGUGGGCCUGGCAUCUCAGAGCCAACACUGGCACAGCUUCAAAUCUCUUCCCUUCCUGCCACAUCUUUCUGCCUUCAGCUAGAGAAAAUCCUCUACUUUCUUAAGAGAGUGUGACUAGAUGGGCCCGCCCAAAAUAUUUAGGAUAAUCACCCUCUCUUAAGUGAUGACCUUAACCACAUUUGCAAAGUCCAUUUUGCCAUGUUCCCUAACUUUUUGCCAGGUUCCCUAACUGUCCCCUGUUCUAGAUAUUCAGGUAUAGAUGUCUUUGGGAAGCCAUGAAGCAUUUGACAGGGACAGACCCUCAACCCUGCAUCGGCCUAUGAUCCAAGGAUGCCACUAAGCUGAGUCAGGGCCUCACCAUUGCCCUGGAGUGAGGACUUCCUCAGAGUGGGGGCUCCCGAGACUCCCACAGUGGGCAGGGCUUGGGCCAGGACAGCUCUCAUUAUCUUCCUGCACAGGCCACUCAACCAGGCCAUCUUUCAGGUCAGUCUUCCAGGCUCCCAGUUUGAAGGCCACAGCAGAAUGACUGGGAGAGGAAGAGGCUGCUGGUUGAGGGAGGUCCUGUCUGGGGGAGCCAGGAGGCCUUGGACCUGCCUGUCAAACCCCAGGAUGCUCCAGAACCCAGAGCCAGCAGAAGUCUCCAGGGUGACAGGGCAGGAGGGUCCCCUUCCCCACCCACUACUCUCUGCUCCCCAUCCCUUCCUGAAUCCCCGCCCGCCGUCCUCCAUUACCUAUGCCCAGGGCUCACCCCGGAAGCCAGGCACUCCAGACAGCAACACAGUCUUCAGUGGUGAAACGGAAAGCGCCUCCGGCAGCAAGCAACACACCCAGCGUUCCAGCAAGCUAUAUGAAGUGCUAACAGAGGCUGGCCUCGCAUCCGGGCCAGAGGGGCUGCAGAGGCUGCCCAGGAUCCUGAGGCCCAGAUUCACCCAAGGACACACAGCAAGUCAGUGA